UGCUUCACACAUGCAAGUCGAGCGGCAGCGCGGGGCAACCUGGCGGCGAGCGGCGAACGGGUGAGUAAUGCAUCGGAACGUACCCAGUCGUGGGGGAUAACGCACCGAAAGGUGUGCUAAUACCGCAUACGUCCUGAGGGAGAAAGCGGGGGAUCGCAAGACCUCGCGCGAUUGGAGCGGCCGAUGUCUGAUUAGCUAGUUGGUGGGGUAAAGGCCUACCAAGGCGACGAUCAGUAGCUGGUCUGAGAGGACGACCAGCCACACUGGGGCUGAGACACGGCCCAGACUCCUACGGGAGGCAGCAGUGGGGAAUUUUGGACAAUGGGGGAAACCCUGAUCCUGCCAUUCCGCGUGAGUGAAGAAGGCCUUCGGGUUGUAAAGCUC
rnacentral:rRNA from 1 species